UAAUUUUUAUUGUUUUUAUAGUCUUUAAAUUGUCUUUUUAUUGCUUCGAUUUUUUUUUUUUGAGAGAGAGAUCGUGCUAACUGCUUCGUUUAUUUCAUUUAGAAAUAAAUUUAUGUGAAAAUAUGAAUCAGCUCGGAUUCGAACUUGGGACUUCGAAUAUCAAUCACCAAAUCCGUUGCCACUUGCACCAGGGACGGUCGGUUGCUUUGAUUAUUGUUACAAGCUUUCUUCAAUUUGAAG
rnacentral:lncRNA from 1 species